rnacentral:rRNA from 1 species
AUGCACGCUGGCGGCGUGCCUAAUACCUGCAAGUCGAGCGAACAGAUGAGGAGCUUGCUCCUCUGACGUUAGCGGCGGACGGGUGAGUAACACGUGGAUAACCUACCUAUAAGACUGGGAUAACUUCGGGAAACCGGAGCUAAUACCGGAUAAUAUAUUGAACCGCAUGGUUCAAUAGUGAAAGACGGUUUUGCUGUCACUUAUAGAUGGAUCCGCGCCGCAUUAGCUAGUUGGUAAGGUAACGGCUUACCAAGGCAACGAUGCGUAGCCGACCUGAGAGGGUGAUCGGCCACACUGGAACUGAGACACGGUCCAGACUCCUACGGGAGGCAGCAGUAGGGAAUCUUCCGCAAUGGGCGAAAGCCUGACGGAGCAACGCCGCGUGAGUGAUGAAGGUCUUCGGAUCGUAAAACUCUGUUAUUAGGGAAGAACAAAUGUGUAAGUAACUAUGCACGUCUUGACGGUACCUAAUCAGAAAGCCACGGCUAACUACGUG